GGUGACACAUUUUCUCUCUGCAACAAAGAGCAGAUGACCUUCUGGGGAAAUCAUGUUAAUGGAAAUAAGCAUAUGUCUCCAGAUCCAAAAGCCAGAACUUACGGGGCAAUGAUAAAAGAAAUCAGAGGGUGAGUACAUUUGUGAGGAUUAUCACUGAUAUGCAUUGCUCCCAUAUCUCUUUUUCCCUUUGCCCUUGGUAGGAGUCUGUUUUUGUGAGUGUGCUCUGAGUGAGUCUGCUUCUCUUAAGUAAAAAGCCGCUCUGUUUCUUUUAAACUGAAAAUCCAGGAAGCAGUGGGCAUUAGGGAGGUAUAGCUAUCAGCAGACAGGGUGGCCCCUUAACACUGACAGUGUCAGUAUUGAAGACCACUUCAAUCAUACUUUGUGACAAAACUAUAAUAUGAAACGUUGAGUGUAUAAAUAGCUCAGAUAUUGAUAUAUUCAUGCAAUUAUAGAAAAAAUUCUAGACCCCUUUAUUUAUUUACAUUUUCCAAAAAUCAUCCUGAACCUAAAUAGAACUUACAGAUUGGUAUGAUUAAUUCCCAAUAGCACACUAGUCUAACUGUAAGAUUAGUUCCUAAUAUAUCAAUAAACACUAUAGUAAGUCAUUACA
rnacentral:lncRNA from 12 species